GGCAGUGUGGCCCAGCGGGUAAGGAACUGGACUUGCAACCGAACGGUCACAGGUUCGAUUCCCGGGUAAGGACACUGCCG
rnacentral:tRNA from 1 species